CGGAUCUUCUCUGCACAAACACAUGACGUUAGCCGCUGUCACAGUGCUGCUUAGAGGCUCUGUUGUGGGCUGCUGUAAUAACAACCUCUGUGGUCUGGGAUACAUUAGGGUGCGGGUGUCCGUGAGAGUCUCGCCGCGGCCCUGUCCUCGGAGAUUACGCUCAUAUGGGAACUCGCUCUGACAGCUGGGCUGCUUCCGCCACAACAGAACUGAGACAGCGUUUGAGCGCACACUCACACUGCUUCGCUUCCUUUGAGCUCACAGCCUCUCUUGACAUUCUAUUCAAAGAAGACCAAAGGAGGGACGAAGGUUUAAAACAUUGUUGUUUUACAAG